rnacentral:lncRNA from 1 species
CCUGUGUUUAAUGGUGGUGAUGGCAAAUGGAUUGCUGACUCUGAUGUGAUCACUCAAGUCAUUGAGGAGAAGUUCCCAACUCCAUCUCUGGUCACCCCUCCAGAAUAUGCAUCAGUGUAAGUUGUCUUGCUAAUAUCCCGUCUUUAAGGCAAAUUCUGCAUUAAGCUUUUCACAUCUCCAUCUUCCUAUGGAAGUAUUUAUGACAUGUUUUAACACGGGAGAUUUUAACUGUUGCUUAUGACAUUUUAAUGUAAAAUUCCCUUGUUCCAAAUGGGGCCUAAGUUUUACUGUUGCUAAGCUCUGAAGACCCUUAUUCUGUGUUUAGUCCUGUAAGGGGUUUUUAUUAAAAAGGUUGAGGAUUUGAUAAAAUCUGCAUUCAUUUCAGAGGGGUCUUUUGUUUAAAUAGUUGGCAGUUCACAAUGCAUGCGCCUGAUCACGAUUCUAGUAGCAUGUUGAUUUAGGAACUUCUUGUAAUUUUCAUGGUCAUUGGAGCCUAACAUCCUACUAAAGAAAAGAAAGUAAUGUAUUUGUCAAGGAUAUUGAGACCCUGUUUGGAUCCACCAGCUAAACUUUAGCUGGCUAAAUUUAGCUGCUAUGGAUCCAAAUAGGACCCGGCUAAAUUUUAGCUGGCUAAAGAUUCCCGUAGCUAGUUGAACCCAGCUAAAGUGAUAAAAGACCAAACUGCCCCUCCACCUUCCUCGGGAAAAGUAUUUAAAGUGGGAGUGAGGGAUAGGAUAGAUAAAUACCUUUUCAACUACCAUUUAGCUAGAGGAUCCAAACACCCCCUAGCUAAAGUUUAGCUAGAUAAACUUUAGCUAGCUAAAAGAAAGCUCCUAAACUUUAGCUAGCUAAACGUUAGUUGGGUGGAUCCAAACAGGGCCUGAAUACUGUCCUGAGCUUAUGUGAGAGUAGCUGUGGUAGGAUCUAUCAUGCUCUGAUUUGAUAGCUUUUGAAAUACUAACAACUUGCAAGGUUACUAUCUCCUUAUCCUAGUUUCUUCUGAAGCAUUGUUUUGGGUUCUUGUGUUGCUAUACAUUUUCAGUUGAGCUUUGGCAGUUGUCUUAAUAUUGUGUAUUUAUGGUUCUGGUGACAGAGGAUCAAAGAUUUUCCCAUCUUUUGUCAAGUUCCUGAAGAGCAAGGAUGCCAGUGAUGGUUCAGAGAAGGCACUUCUUGAUGAGCUACAGGCACUAGAUGAGCAUCUGAAAGCUCAUGUAAGUUGCAGAGUUGAACUCUUUAAGUGAUUGAUAUGGCUGUACAUCAAGGGAGUAGACAUAACACAUGCCUUCCAUGGUCAUUUCAGUCGUACCCACAUCCCACUUUUCUCCGCACUUAACCUGUUGGGAUAUGACACAUUGCAAUCAUUUUGGUUUGAUCAAAUGCCUUGUUGUGUCGGCCUUGAUUAGUCUGACCAUCUAAUUUGAUUGAACCGUACCUUUCCUGACGCCACUAUCAACAUUCUGAUGUUUGCAGGGUCCCUACAUCAACGGGGAGAAUGUAUCAGCUGCUGAUCUUAGUCUGGGGCCAAAGCUCUUCCACCUCCAGGUCGCACUGGAGCAUUUCAAGGGCUGGAAGAUCCCGGAGAACCUGACCAGCGUUCAUGCCUACACCCAGGUACGCAAGUGCUCAAUUGAUUGCACUUCACUAUCAGUUCGAUAAAACCUGUCCAGAAUCCAAUAAUCGAGAUCGCGUUUGUCUUUGUGCAGGCUCUUUUCAGCCGCGAAUCUUUUGUGAAGACUAAGCCAACCAAGGAGCACCUGAUUGCAGGAUGGGCACCCAAGGUGAACGCGUAAGCGCCCAUCCCCCCUUGUGCUUUGGUGCUACCUGGUGGACACCAUCUGUUUAUCUGAUCAGUCUC